GUUGUUAAGUGAAACAUUUGUUAAGUGAGUUUUACCCCCGUUUUACAACCUUUCUUCUUAUAGUUGUUAUGUGGAUCACGGCAGUUGUUA